rnacentral:misc_RNA from 1 species
AGAAAUUCAAUUUGCAGAUUAUAUAUUUCCUGCUUUUGAUCAGAUUGUCAAUGAAGCUGCGAAAUUCAGAUACCGGAGUGGUAACCAGUUCAACUGCGGAGGUUUAACUAUAAGAGCACCUUAUGGAGCUGUUGGACAUGGUGGGCAUUACCACUCUCAAUCCCCUGAAUCUUUCUUCUGCCAUGUUCCUGGUAUAAAGGUGGUCAUCCCACGCAGUCCACAGCAAGCAAAAGGAUUGCUGUUGUCAAGCAUACGUGACCCAAAUCCAGUUGUUUUUUUUGAACCAAAGUUGCUUUACCGGAUGGCUGUUGAAGAAGUUCCUAAAGAUGAUUAUAUGUUGCCUCUAUCUGAGGCAGAGGUCCUCAGGGAAGGUACUGAUAUCACAUUAGUUGGUUGGGGAGCUCAGCUAUCUAUUAUGGAGCAGGCAUGUGUAGAAGCUGCAAAGGAGGGGAUCUCUUGUGAACUGAUAGACCUUAAAACUUUAAUACCUUGGGACAAGGAAACGGUAGAGGCCUCUGUCAAAAAGACAGGAAGGCUGCUGAUUAGUCAUGAAGCUCCUGUGACAGGUGGAUUUGGUGCUGAAAUAUCUGCAUCUAUAGUUGAACGUUGCUUCACGAGAUUAGAAGCUCCAGUGGCCAGAGUGUGUGGGUUAGAUACUCCUUUUCCUCUGGUGUUUGAGCCCUUCUACUUGCCUACAACGAACAAGAUACUGGAUGCAAUCAAAUCUACUGUGAGUUACUAGUGCUCAUUCAGUCGUGCAGAGAUGCUGGAGUGUUAUAGUAGUGAAUAUAUAUAUGUAUUGCCAUAGAUUAUGAUUCGGGGUUUCUCUAUUAACAUACAUAUAUAAAACACUGUUAUUAAUAGCUUAUGCAACCAAAAAA